ACCCGAUCGAGAAGCAAGGAAGAAUUUUAUAUACUGUAAAAUGGUGGACAUUUUUUGUCAAACCUACCUUUAUUGGAAGGUAAUAUGCUUUAUUUAAUAUCAAUCCUUGUAGUAAAGUACUUAGGUUACCAAUAUAGAUGAAAAUUUAGGACAACGAACCCGAAUUUAAUGUGAUAUUUCGACAUAAACUUUGUGCUUUUGCUUUGCACGUGGUUCGCUUUAUGGGCGAUUGUCGAAGUUUAAACCGUGUUUUAAUUCAUAAUUAUUGUCGACCAUGUGAGUUAAAAGAGUAACUGAGAUCUAGAAUUGUUUAAGUUGUCUAAAAAAGUUGUUAUCUCUGAGUUUUUGCCGAAACUUUUUAUAUUAAAUCAAUGCCGUAUUGGCAUACGGCCCGUAUGCCCGUAUUUUAAUAAAGGAUGAAUAUAAUUUAUUUCAUCAGCUUGCAUGUAUUAAAUAGGUUAGCACUUUUUUCCAUCCAGCAAACCGCUCUAUCGAUUUUCUAAAGUCUUUUUAAAUUUUUUUUAUUAAUUCGGUUAGGGUUAUAGUUAGGGUUGUGGUUAGGGUUAGGGUUAGGGGUUAGAGUAGGUGUAAGGUUUGGGUUAUGCACCUAUCAAUGUAAAUCCUGUGGGGGGGGGAGGCCGGGACUAGCGAGGGGAUUUGACAAAAAUGUGAGAAAACUAAUCAAAUGCCUGCAGGGGGGAGAAAAUUCCGGUCAAAUAAAGGUAACUUUCUGCAUAUUUUAAGCUUUUUAAAGGGUGACUUUUAGUGCCGAAUUUUACAUUUCUGCUCCGAAUUUGCGAUAAUCCCAACCGGAAAUACGACAAAAACUUGUCAAAACAAUGCCACGCUUAUAUCGCGUGACUCUGGAAAUGGAUUUUACAGGUCAAAGUUAGGCUUGGGCGGUUUACCGGUUUUUCGGGGUUUUUUUGUUUUAUUUUCAAACCGGUUUUUUCGGUUUAACUUUUACAAAAACCGGAAAACUGUCAUUACGAAAUUGUUUACUGUCAACGCCCGAAACUCGAUCCUAAUUUUCAAAACAUGACACUAAUUAAACACAAUUACAUGACACUAGAUACAAAUUAUAUUCUUUUUCCGUAAAGUCGGUAAGAACUAAAGAGGUAUAAGUUUUCAAAUGCGUUCUUGACCCUUUUAUUUUAAAACUGAAGUCGUUUUAGGUUACCUUUACACAAUUUUGCGUUUUGUCAUGUUCUGUUUGUUUGCUUAUGUCAAAAAAAUACCACAAUUCCUCCUCAUUCAGUUGAAAUAGAAAUUAAAGGGAAAAAACUGGUUUUACCGGUUUAGAAUCAGACGGUUUUUCGGUUUUGAUUUUAAGCAAAACUGCCCAAGCCUAGUUAAAGUGCACCCAUACAUGUGAGUUUGACGUCAUCCCGGCUAAAGGGCGCUCCUUAUUGGCCAAGUAUUACGUAAUACAAGUGCGUGCGAGUAAAACCCGAUACUUUAAAAAUUCAAAAUAAAUAUUUCUACUCGUUGUAUUCAUACAAAACUUUCUACACAAAAGCGCUUGAAUACAAAGAGUAUUUUACACAGUCAUAUAGCCUUUCAGAAAAUGACGAAAAGUUUAGAAGAUAUUCGACUUUUCUCUUUUUCUCGUUUGAAUGUUUGGCGAAGCAGUGAGUAUAAAUAUAUGAUUGUUUCGGUUUGUGUAAUGUUUUGACGGCACUUGACCCCCCGUUCGAAAGGUUAUUUUGUGAGGAUUACAAUGGUGGGUUUUGUUUUAACGGGGGGUAAAUACUCGCCGCGAUAUUUACAUUAGAAAAAUUGAAUUGUAAUGUAAUUCGAAACUACUUGUCGACAAGGAGUUAAAAACACCAAUUUACUUAUAAACAUUGAGCAAAGCAAGGGAAAAUCAUUUUUAAUAAUAUGAAUUGACAUGAACAUAAAGGUCAGUUCACACUGGAGGUGAUGCUACAAUGCGACGCUAUUUUCUGAUUUUCAUAAACAGAUAACUUUGAUUAAAUUUAAACUUGACAUUAAUACAAUUACGUAAAAACCACUGUAAAACCUUUGCAAACAGCACUUUCAACUACGCUCAGAGGACCACACUGGAUUUAAAUUUUACGCAUCACUGCUCAUGCGCAUUAAUAAGUUCAACCUGGAUGGAAAUUGAACUGCCCCGUCCUAGGGACAGGCAAGUUAGAAAAUGUCUCCGGGAGGGGAUGAGUUUUGUCAUCAAAUCCCCUAUAUUGUCCCAGCCUCUCCCACGGGGUUUACAUUGAUAUGUGUAUUAGUUAUAUAGCCAUUUAACACCUCUUCUAUCUUCCAAAAAUGACGUCAGCAGGGCUUUCCUCUGGGGCGCACGAUCGCACAUGCCCAGAUGAAUCUGGGCGUGUGAUUUAUCACACACAAAUUUGAUUUUUAAGGAUAAAUACAAUUUGACACGCAGUGAAUUAAGAUAUAAUGUAACAAAACCAAAUAUAAUUUGACACUUUAGAACUUUACAUUAUUUAACAGAGAGCGCAAUAUUAUCGGUAUUCUUCCAAAGUUAGGGUGUUUAUAAUUGAAGAUGGCCACCAAAGGCAAUAAGGUCGAUCUGGCAACUUUUAUGAAGUGGGGGGAAAUGGUGUUAUUGGCUAGAAGAAGAUCAACGCAAUGAAAAUGCUUUAUUUCAGCAUCCAAAAUGCAAAGGGCCUGUUAAGAAGUCAAUCAAAUUGUAUAUUGAGGGAACAAGCUUUGUGAACAAGCACAGUCAAUCGGCAUCUGGAGAGCAAAGGCCAUCGCAAUAGAAAGCAUGC
rnacentral:lncRNA from 1 species